ACAUGGGCUGCAAGAGUUCUACUGGAUAGUUAAGACUUUUGUUGUAAAUGGGGUUUCAGGUGAGAUUUCUGGAAAACUGCAGAAAAGUCAUUUCAUUUACGCUGAGGUGUUAAAAGUGACACAUUGCAAUUUUUACUUUUUUGUUAGAGGUCCAUAUGAAGAUAAUAUCGUCUCUGUGUAACGCAGCAAAUUUUAGUUGUGAUGGGAUGCUUGUCUCCUAGCGAAAAGUCUUCAUCAGACUCCAGGAUCAUAUUAGGAUCCAGUCAGUGUUCAUGGGGAACACUUAGGGUAAAGUUCUUGAUGAUUGUUGACCUGGCUCAUUAAUACUUUUUUCAGAUGCAUCCUCAACAAGACCCAAGGCAAAAAGGCGGUUUACCGAGACCUUGUGGUUAAGAACGUGUGCAGAUUACACGACGAAGUUGAAAGCUGGAGCGGUGGUGUACAAAGCCGGGUCUAAGACACUUGCCCUUGAACUUUACUGUCAGCAAGAGAACCAUGAGCAGAAAGGUCUCUGUGGUUGCUGGCAUCCAGUCACUCUCUCAAGCCUUGGGGCUCAUCAGAGUCCUCUGCAGAUCUCACCUCUGACACUAGAGAGUGUGAAGAAACAAGUCAGACAAAGUAAAGAGGAAUAGAAGACUCCAUUGUGCUCACACAGGAACAGUCUGGGAGCUGGGAGAUGUUAGCCGUGGUAAGAAGCAUAGCUCACAGGUCACAGAACAAUGAGGAAGUACAUCGUCCCUGUUCCAAGUCAGGACUGACUGUAGAAACCACAUUCCUUCCAGGACAAGAGGAACCGUAGAAAAUCACUUGCCUGCAACUGAUUGUUUUAAAUUUAUCACAGUGACACAGAGAGAAAUUCGAGUUGUGUGUUUUGUUGAGUACAUUUUCAGGUUAGGUACUGAGGAUGGAACGAUGGGUGUUGGCCUCUGUUUCGAUUUUUCAAUAGCCACAAAUGAUAAGCUUCCAGACGGUUAGGCAGGGGUAAGGGGCAGUGAGAUCCCAGCUUUGUGAGGGACCCUCAUGUUUCAAAAGCCAGCUCUCGAGGAGCACCAGGAAGUUAACAUCCCUUCCCAGUAGAGAAUUGUCAGCUGACCCCUGAGCACCCUCCCAGCCCAGAGCACAGUAAGACACAAGGUAACUGGGGAGUUUUGAGCAAAGACACUUUAAAGUAGUUUACAUCAUCACAACAAACAAGCUAGUCCCUUUCCUCAAGAUUCAUACUGCCCAUAAGAUUAAUGUCAUGAUUAAUAAUUUACAGUCCGGAGAGCUUUACUGUUGCUUUGAAUUUCAAUUGAAAUAUUUCACUAUUACUCAGCUGUGAUUUUUAUCUUGUUUCACAAGUAAAAUAAAACUUUAAAGUG